UACGUAGGGUGCACGCGUUGUCCGGAAUUAUUGGGCGUAAAGAGCUCGUAGGCGGUUCGUCACGUCGGCUGUGAAAACCCGGGGCUCAACCCCGGGCCUGCAGUCGAUACGGGCGAACUAGAGUGCGGUAGGGGAGACUGGAAUUCCUGGUGUAGCGGUGAAAUGCGCAGAUAUCAGGAGGAACACCGGUGGCGAAGGCGGGUCUCUGGGCCGUAACUGACGCUGAGGAGCGAAAGCGUGGGGAGCGAACAGG
rnacentral:rRNA from 1 species